GGACAACUAGUUAAUAUUCUAGUACUUGCAUUAAGAGCGAUGGAGAGACGGAGUAGUGAAAGGUCUGCGCACGGACGGAUGUGUGCGUUAAAGCCAGUAGGUAUAGGUUUUGUAGGUAAAUCCGCAAGACUUGCUGAAGGUGAUAGUACCGUGAGGCUUCGGCCAAAUGGAUAAUGACCCUAAACAGACUUCCAAGAAAAUCUUCUAAGCAUAUUUUAAUGGAACCCGUACCGCAAACCGACACAGGUAGUCAAGGAGAGAAUCCUAAGGCGCUCGAGUGAAUCACGGCCAAGGAACUCGGCAAAAUAACCCUGUAACUUCGGGAGAAGGGGAGCCUACCCAGUAAUGGGAGGUCGCAGAGAAAUGGCCCAGGCGACUGUUUAACAAAAACACAUGGCA
rnacentral:rRNA from 1 species